rnacentral:sRNA from 12 species
AGCCUAAACCUCAUAGUUUAUCUAUGAGGCAUGUGGCGCAAAAACGUUCAACGUAGAGAGCUCCUAGUCAGAGCACGCGUUGAACGUCAUAUCGGGAAACCGGUAUGGGUCCCGCAAGGGAUU